UACGUAGGGGGCAAGCGUUGUCCGGAAUCAUUGGGCGUAAAGCGCACGUAGGCGGCCCGAUCAGUCCGCUGUGAAAGUCAAAGGCUCAACCUUUGAAUGCCGGUGGAUACUGUCGGGCUAGAAUUCGGAAGAGGCGAGUGGAAUCCGUGGUGUAGCGGUGAAAUGCGUAGAGAUCGGGAGGAAGGCCGGUGGCGAAGGCGGCGCUCUGGAACGUACCUGACGCUGAGACACGAAAGCGUGGGGAGCA
rnacentral:rRNA from 1 species